GGAUGCGAUCAUACCAGCACUAAAGCACCGGAUCCUAUCAGAACUGUGAAGUUAAGUGUGCUUGGGCGAGAGUAGUACUAGGAUGGGUGACCUCAUGGGAAGUCCUCGUGUUGCAUUCC
rnacentral:rRNA from 16 species